rnacentral:rRNA from 1 species
GCUGGCGGAAUGCUUUACACAUGCAAGUCGAACGGCAGCAUAGAGAGCUUGCUCUCUGAUGGCGAGUGGCGAACGGGUGAGUAACUAUAUCGGAACGUACCUAGUAAUGGGGAACAACCAGCCGAAAGGUUGGCUAAUACCGCAUACGACCUACGGGUGAAAGCAGGGGAUCUUCGGACCUUGCGUUAUUAGAGCGGCCGAUAUCUGAUUAGGUAGUUGGUGGGGUAAAGGCCUACCAAGCCGACGAUCAGUAGCUGGUCUGAGAGGACGAUCAGCCACACUGGAACUGAGACACGGUCCAGACUCCUACGGGAGGCAGCAGUGGGGAAUUUUGGACAAUGGGGGCAACCCUGAUCCAGCCAUUCCGCGUGAGUGAAGAAGGCCUUCGGGUUGUAAAGCUCUUUCGCAAGAGAAGAAAUCUUACUAUCGAAUAAAUAGUAAGGAUGACGGUAUCUUGACAAGAAGCACCGGCUAACUACGUGCCAGCAGCCGCGGUAAUACGUAGGGUGCGAGCGUUAAUCGGAAUUACUGGGCGUAAAGCGUGCGCAGGCGGUUUUAUAAGUCAGAUGUGAAAUCCCCGAGCUCAACUUGGGAACUGCGUUUGAAACUGUAAGACU